rnacentral:rRNA from 1 species
GACGAACGCUGGCGGCGUGCUUAACACAUGCAAGUCGAACGAAGAGCGACGGAAGCUUGCUUCUAUCAAUCUUAGUGGCGAACGGGUGAGUAACGCGUAAUCAACCUGCCCUUCAGAGGGGGACAACAGUUGGAAACGACUGCUAAUACCGCAUACGAUCUAAUCUCGGCAUCGAGGAUAGAUGAAAGGUGGCCUCUACAUGUAAGCUAUCACUGAAGGAGGGGAUUGCGUCUGAUUAGCUAGUUGGAGGGGUAACGGCCCACCAAGGCGAUGAUCAGUAGCCGGUCUGAGAGGAUGAACGGCCACAUUGGGACUGAGACACGGCCCAGACUCCUACGGGAGGCAGCAGUGGGGAAUCUUCCGCAAUGGACGAAAGUCUGACGGAGCAACGCCGCGUGAGUGAUGACGGCCUUCGGGUUGUAAAGCUCUGUUAAUCGGGACGAAAGGCCUUCUUGCGAAUAGUGAGAAGGAUUGACG